rnacentral:lncRNA from 1 species
CCGCCUUGUUACGGGGACGGCAUGUGCGUUGCAGCGAGGCCUUGGUGAUAGCUUAAACAUCAUCUUGUUAAAGCGAGGCUUUCCAUAUACACUGUUGACUUACAUCGUAGCAGAAGUGAAACCGCUUCAAUACAUCGUCCUUCGUCUACGUCUCCAUCCUACGCGUUCGUCUCGUCGCUGUGUGUACAGACGACGAAAACGAACGCUUAGAAGAGACGGAACGGAGGGCCCAUGGUGGACUUGAUGUACAGCGACUUGACGUUCUGCCAGUUCUUCUUCAGGAGCGACACGAGGAAGUUCACGGACGUCUGCACGUUGACAAAGAUCUCGCGCUCCGUCUGCUCCACGUUUGCCACGGCGACGGCGAGGCACAGCACCUUCUUGAGCUGAAACUUCACCUGCGAGCGGAUGCCGUUAACCUUGGCUUCGAGGGACUCGUUGUGCGUGCACAGCGUCGGGAACUUCCCCGCCUUGUUCAGGCCGGGACCGAGAAGACGCGGGAUCUGCUUGAUGACGGACUCGGACGCGAGGAAGUGGUUGUACUUCUUCGCGAGCUUCUUGAUGAGCUUCUUGUUUUUGUUCAGCUUCUUG